rnacentral:tRNA from 1 species
CGCGGGGUAGAGCAACGGUAGCUCGCAAGGCUCAUAACCUUGAGGUAGCGGGUUCGACUCCCGCCCCCGCAA